rnacentral:rRNA from 1 species
GAUGAACGCUGGCGGCGUGCUUAACACAUGCAAGUCGAACGAACCUUCGGGUUAGUGGCGGACGGGUGAGUAACGCGUGAGAAUCUGCCCUCAGGAGGGGGAUAACAGCUGGAAACGGCUGCUAAUACCCCAUAUGCCGCGAGGUGAAAUGAAUUUCGCCUGAGGAUGAGCUCGCGUCUGAUUAGCUAGUUGGUGUAGGUAAUGGCUCACCAAGGCAUCGAUCAGUAGCUGGUCUGAGAGGAUGAUCAGCCACACUGGGACUGAGACACGGCCCAGACUCCUACGGGAGGCAGCAGUGGGGAAUUUUCCGCAAUGGGCGAAAGCCUGACGGAGCAACGCCGCGUGAGGGAUGAAGGCCUCUGGGCUGUAAACCUCUUUUAUCAAGGAAGAAGAUCUGACGGUACUUGAUGAAUAAGCCACGGCUAAUUCCGUGCC